AUUGAACGCUGGCGGCAUGCCUUACACAUGCAAGUCGAACGGCAGCACGGGGCAACCUGGUGGCGAGUGGCGAACGGGUGAGUAAUGCAUCGGAACGUACCUUUCAGUGGGGGAUAACGUAGCGAAAGUUACGCUAAUACCGCAUAUUCUGUGAGCAGGAAAGCAGGGGAUCGCAAGACCUUGCGCUGAUUGAGCGGCCGAUGUCAGCUUAGCUAGUUGGUGAGGUAAAGGCUCACCAAGGCGACGAUCUGUAGCGGGUCUGAGAGGAUGAUCCGCCACACUGGAACUGAGACACGGUCCAGACUCCUACGGGAGGCAGCAGUGGGGAAUUUUGGACAAUGGGGGCAACCCUGAUCCAGCCAUGCCGCGUGAGUGAAGAAGGCCUUCGGGUUGUAAAGCUCUUUCGGCCUGGAAGAAAUCGCACGGGCUAAUACCCUGUGUGGAUGACGGUACCGGAAUAAGAAGCACCGGCUAACUACGUGCCAGCCGCCGCAGUAAGAC
rnacentral:rRNA from 1 species